rnacentral:tRNA from 1 species
GGCGAGGUAGCUCAGCUGGUCUAGAGCGGUGGAUUCAUAACCCACAGGUCGCGAGUUCGAGUCUCGCCCUCGCCA